rnacentral:rRNA from 1 species
UACGAAGGGGGCUAGCGUUGCUCGGAAUUACUGGGCGUAAAGGGUGCGUAGGCGGCGCAAGUAGUCAGGCGUGAAAUUCCUGGGCUUAACCUGGGGGCUGCGCUUGAUACGCUUGUGCUAGAGGAUGGAAGAGGCUCGUGGAAUUCCCAGUGUAGAGGUGAAAUUCGUAGAUAUUGGGAAGAACACCGGUGGCGAAGGCGGCGAGCUGGUCCAUUACUGACGCUGAGGCGCGACAGCGUGGGGAGCAAACAGG